UUAUUAUGGUUUAUUCGCUUAAUUAAUAGGGAAGACGGUGUAAGUCCGUCACAACCGCCAUUACUGUAAGCAGUUUAUAAUUUCGGCAUAUGCCAUUGGGUAACCGAGAAGGCGCCGAAACCGCUAACGCAGGCUGUAAGUCAGGAGACCUGCCAUAAUA
rnacentral:ncRNA from 1 species